GUGACGGUUUUGUCAGAUUGGUCGUCGAUAUUGGCGAGGAAUGCCGCACAUACCGAACCAGUCUUGUAUACGUGCGCCUGAAGACAGAGGAAUGCAGAUAUCAUCAAUUCAUCAUUAAGCCUAACCAAGCAGAUUGCAAAGAUAAAAGUUGCUUUUGGAAAAGCAGAUCACAUACCUCAGCAUUUUGACCAAGGGACAUGUAUGAUGGAUCAGUUGCUAUGAGUGCAGGUUCACACAUCUUUAUUGCCUUGUGCACAUCCCUCAGGUGACCCCACUUCGGCUGCCUCACUAGACCUGAAUCACACAUUGCGAAAAGGAAACAAAAUUACUCAAACAUGACCAACGCCAAUGAUCCCCAUGUUUGUUCAGUUUUCCGGUGGGAAAGUGCGUGCGCUCGCUCCAUGAUGUCCUGAACAUUUGCAAGUGCAAUACUGGGGUGCAGAACUAGCGCGUGCCUCGGGUGUGCGUGGAUGUGGUCAGUUUUAGUAGCAGACUUAGCUGCUCCAGAAGACAGGUUCUCACCGUACUCGUCGAUCGGAGCGUCAUAGUCGUAGCUCGUGGCGAUGAAUGGCCCUCCGGAGCUCCGGCCGAAGUUGGUCCCUCCGUGGUACUGCCGACAGAUGCAAGACCCAGAGUUAAGCAGGCAAGAGAUAGGAAGUGCAGA